rnacentral:rRNA from 1 species
CGGGAAAAGCUCAAAUUUAAAAUCUGGCAGUCUUUGGCUGUCCGAGUUGUAGUCUGGAGAAGCGUUUUCCGUGCUGGACCGUGUACAAGUCUCCUUGGAAUAGGGCGUCAUAGAGGGUGAGAAUCCCGUCUUUGACACGGACUGCCAGUGCUUUGUGAUGCGCUCUCAAA